UGUACCACUGUCCGCCAUAUACAUAGAAUUACUUUUGCAGUGGCUGUGAAGCAUAGCAGAAAAAGAAAUAGCAUUGUGCAUGUCAGCAACUAAAGGCUAAAACAUUUCCUGUGAGCUACAUGUUAGCGCGCUCAAAGGUGUGAUGCGUGUCAUGCCCUGUACGAGCGCCUCAGUUACUGUGCCGAUUCGUUUUAAGUGCUUUGUGGAGGAUCGCUCGCCAAGCAAAUGCUUAUUAGUGCAUUUCGCUCAUAUGACAGCAAAUCCAGGGGCACAUUACUAGACUGUUUUCUAAUCCGAAAACAACAGUCCGCUGUUGCACAUUUACAGUGGUUUGCAGCACAUGAAGUAAUGGAGGCAGUUUACAGCCUUGUCGUGCAUAGAGAUUCCUCAGGUCUCUGCACGAUAUAAAAACCAGUUGUACUUUACCGCUUUCAGAUACUAGACAAGACGUUCGAUGAGUAUGUGGAUCUCUCUCCUGAGGACACUAUCCCAGGCUUAUCGAAAAUUUUACUGCGCCCACAAGUGGACAGUGAGCAGCAGUGUGCGUCAACAUCGACUGAGCACAUUGCGGCGAGCAGUAUGGUGGCCAGUGGCAGCGACGAUCAUGAAAAUGGCCUUGGAAUUUCCUUCGAUCUGUUCCCAACUCGUACUUUCUAUUCAAGGGUGACCUCACUUUUGCUUGAGAAAUACCCGCAGCUGAAGGACGUAGUAGGAAGUGGAGCUGACUCCUGGAAGGUAGCCUUGCUCUACAGAUUCAAGAAUCAGCGAAGGGUUCUUCCGUGCGAUGGUCGCGAGGGGGCGAGAACCGUGCAAAGUUUGGAUCACGCAGGAAGGGCGGGGAAGAAACAGCCACGGUGGAGCUCCAGCGGCACAAAGUGCAAAAGAUGGAUGUUGCUAUCUCUACAAUAGCCGGAGAAGAAAAAAGUUUUGAAAUGCACACGGAGUGGCUCAGCUGUGAAUCGCGCAAAGGCUCUCCUGACGAGGAUCAAAUCAAUGAAAGGAUGGCCUCGACAUGGCGCCAAGAAAUUUCUGACGUCGCAACAAAUAGUAUUCAUGAGGCGAAGAGGAAGUACCCAUACAUGAUGAGCUUUGAGCGGUUUUGCAGUGACUUUGCAAGACUAACUAAGAUUGACCCUUCACCUUGUAUUGCAAAAGGGAUCAACAAAAUUGUGAAAAUGGCAGAAAUGAAACGCAUCCCUUGCGAAGCAAGUGUAAUGGUAUCACUUGAACAGGCUCGUGAGAUAUCACCGGAGAGGCUGCGAA